UACGGGAGGCAGCAGUGGGGAAUUUUGGACAAUGGGCGCAAGCCUGAUCCAGCCAUGCCGCGUGAGUGAAGAAGGCCUUCGGGUUGUAAAGCUCUUUCGGCCGGGAAGAAAUCGUGGUCUCUAACAUAGGCCAUGGAUGACGGUACCGGACUAAGAAGCACCGGCUAACUACGUGCCAGCAGCCGCGGUAAUACGUAGGGUGCGAGCGUUAAUCGGAAUUACUGGGCGUAAAGCGUGCGCAGGCGGUUUUGUAAGACAGAUGUGAAAUCCCCGGGCUUAACCUGGGAACUGCGUUUGUGACUGCAAGGCUAGAGUACGGCAGAGGGGGGUGGAAUUCCUGGUGUAGCAGUGAAAUGCGUAGAGAUCAGGAGGAACACCGAUGGCGAAGGCAGCCCCCUGGGCCUGUACUGACGCUCAUGCACGAAAGCGUGGGGAGCAAACAGGAUUAGAUACCCUGGUAGUCCACGCCCUAAACGAUGUCGACUAGUCGUUCGGAGCAGCAAUGCACUGAGUGACGCAGCUAACGCGUGAAGU
rnacentral:rRNA from 1 species